AGCUUGCUGGGGGAUUAGUGGCGAACGGGUGAGUAACACGUGAGUAACCUGCCCUUGACUCUGGGAUAAGCCUGGGAAACUGGGUCUAAUACCGGAUAUGACCGCUCUGACGCAUGUCAGGUGGUGGAAAGCUUUUGUGGUUUUGGAUGGACUCGCGGCCUAUCAGCUUGUUGGUGGGGUAAUGGCCUACCAAGGCGACAACGGGUAGCCGGCCUGAGAGGGUGACCGGCCACACUGGGACUGAAACACGGCCCAAACUCCUACGGGAGGCAGCAGUGGGGAAUAUUGCACAAUGGGCGCAAGCCUGAUGCAGCGACCCCGCGUGAGGGAUGACGGCCUUCGGGUUGUAAACCUCUUUCAGUAGGGAAAAAGCGAAAGUGACGGUACCUGCAAAAAAAGCGCCGGCUAACUACGUGCCAGCAGCCGCGGUAAUACGUAGGGCGCAAGCGUUAUCCGGAAUUAUUGGGCGUAAAGAGCUCGUA
rnacentral:rRNA from 1 species